rnacentral:rRNA from 1 species
GGUGGUGCAUGGUUGUCGUCAGCUCGUGUCGUGAGAUGUUGGGUUAAGUCCCGCAACGAGCGCAACCCUCGUUCUAUGUUGCCAGCACGUAAUGGUGGGGACUCAUGGAAGACUGCCGGGGUCAACUCGGAGGAAGGUGGGGAUGACGUCAAAUCAUCAUGCCCCUUAUGUCUUGGGCUUCACGCAUGCUACAAUGGCCGGUACAAUGGGCUGCGAUACCGCAAGGUGGAGCGAAUCCCAAAAAACCGGUCUCAGUUCGGAUUGGGGUCUGCAACUCGACCCCAUGAAGUCGGAGUCGCUAGUAAUCGCAGAUCAGCAACGCUGCGGUGAAUACGUUCCCGGGCCUUGUACACACCGCCCGUCAAGUCACGAAAGUCGGUAACACCCGAAGCCGGUGGCCCAACCCUUGUGAAAAGAGCCCUCGAAAGGUGAGACUGGCGAUUGAGACUU